AUUGAACGCUGGCGGAAUGCUUUACACAUGCAAGUCGAACGGCAGCACGGGUGCUUGCACCUGGUGGCGAGUGGCGAACGGGUGAGUAAUGCGUCGGAACGUGCCGAGUAAUGGGGGAUAACGCACCGAAAGGUGUGCUAAUACCGCAUACGCCCCGAGGGGGAAAGCAGGGGAUCGUAAGACCUUGCGUUAUUCGAGCGGCCGACGUCUGAUUAGCUAGUUGGUGGGGUAAUGGCUCACCAAGGCGACGAUCAGUAGCGGGUCUGAGAGGAUGAUCCGCCACACUGGGACUGAGACACGGCCCAGACUCCUACGGGUGGCUG
rnacentral:rRNA from 1 species